CUGCUAAAUAGUUCUCAUAAUCCCACCUUGACUGAGGUGCUGCCAGGAUAAUGUUGUGAUGUAGCUGCAGCAAAUUGUAGCUCUCCUGCAUCACCUGCUGCAAUACUCAUCUACAUCAAAUUAAGUUUAUCUUGUUAUGUUUAGAACCAAAUUACGUUCAUGUUUAGAACCAAAUUAAGUUAGUUUUAUAAUGUUUUUGAACCAAAUUAUUUUUAAAACCAAAUUUGCGUGUA